UGCUUGCACCUGGUGGCGAGUGGCGAACGGGUGAGUAAUACAUCGGAACGUGUCCUGUAGUGGGGGAUAGCCCGGCGAAAGCCGGAUUAAUACCGCAUACGAUCUACGGAUGAAAGCGGGGGAUCUUCGGACCUCGCGCUAUAGGGGCGGCCGAUGGCGGAUUAGCUAGUUGGUGAGGUAAAGGCUCACCAAGGCGACGAUCCGUAGCUGGUCUGAGAGGACGACCAGCCACACUGGGACUGAGACACGGCCCAGACUCCUACGGGAGGCAGCAGUGGGGAAUUUUGGACAAUGGGCGAAAGCCUGAUCCAGCAAUGCCGCGUGUGUGAAGAAGGCCUUCGGGUUGUAAAGCACUUUUGUCCGGAAAGAAAUCCUUGAUCCUAAUAUGGUCGGGGGAUGACGGUACCGGAAGAAUAAGCACCGGCUAACUACGUGCCAGCAGCCGCGGUAAUACGUAGGGUGCAAGCGUUAAUCGGAAUUACUGGGCGUAAAGCGUGCGCAGGCGGUGAUGUAAGACCGAUGUGAAAUCCCCGGGCUCAACCUGGGAACUGCAUUGGUGACUGCAUCGCUUGAGUAUGGCAGAGGGGGGUAGAAUUCCACGUGUAGCAGUGAAAUGCGUAGAGAUGUGGAGGAAUACCGAUGGCGAAGGCAGCCCCCUGGGUCAAUACUGACGCUCAUGCACGAAAGCGUGGGGAGCAAACAGGAUUAGAUACCCUGGUAGUCCACGCCCUAAACGAUGUCAACUGGUUGUCGGGUCUUCAUUGACUUGGUAACGUAGCUAACGCGUGAAGUUGACCGCCUGGGGAGUACGGUCGCAAGAUUAAAACUCAAAGGAAUUGACGGGGACCCGCACAAGCGGUGGAUGAUGUGGAUUAAUUCGAUGCAACGCGAAAAACCUUACC
rnacentral:rRNA from 1 species